rnacentral:rRNA from 1 species
GACGAACGCUGGCGGCGUGCCUAAUACAUGCAAGUAGGACGCAGUUGCGAACGGGUGAGUAACGGGUAGGUAACUGCCUAUUAGAGGGGGAUAACUAUUGGAAACGAUAGCUAAUACCGCAUACUAGUAGAUGGACCUGCGUUGUAUUAGCUAGUAGGUAGGGUAAUGGCCUACCUAGGCAACGAUACAUAGCCGACCGUAGAGGGUGAACGGCCACACUGGGGCUGAGACACGGCCCAGACUCCUACGGGAGGCAGCAGUAGGGAAUCUUCGGCAAUGGGGGGAACCCUGACCGCACAACGCCGGGUGAGUGAAGAAGGUUUUCGGAUCGUAAAGCUCUGUUGUUAAGGUAGCGGUACUUAACCAGAAAGGGACGGCUAACUACGUGCCAGCCGCCGCGGUAAUAC